GCCACAGGAUAUUGUGAGUCGCCACCGGAGGGAGCCGCUGCAGCCCCUUUUGAAAAUGACAGAGGAAACCCGGGGAGGCGCCACGUGGUCACAUUUGUUGCAUGUCCUCAGUCAUUUACUGUUACUUACUGUACUCGCUCUUCGCUGACUACAGGAGAGAGCUAGCAAACUAAUUGUAUGUGUCGUUGAAGCAAAAUACUGUAUUUGAAGACAAAACCUAUAAAAGGGUUUUACCGCUAGUGUUUUUCAUCUUCCCAUUUAGGACUUUCUAACUGUUAUGUAAAACUUUAUCGAGGUGCUUCACGACAGACAAACCUUCCCAGGGCUCAACAUUAACGAUUGCCCGACUUGCCCGAAAAGCAUCUUCGGGAAAGUAAAUGUACGGCACGAUUGUGGGAAUUUUCACAGAAAUAUCGUAAUUUUGCAUUUAUUUAAAAAUUAUUGUGACUGAGUUGAUAGUUUUCGCAUCGUGUGAAACAACGUGACAACAACAGCUUAACACACGAGUUUCUGAUUCGCCGGAGCUCGAAUGAACAAGCCAAUGAGCUGCCUUCUUCUACGGCAUAAUGGCCGCCUCGUGCUUUGGUCAAGAAUAGCUGAAGAUCGACAUGCAAUCAAGGAAAAUCUGAGUGCGCGUCCUCUCGCGGUGCGACUCACCCGAUGAGCGUCCCCUUGGAGUUGCGAAUGAGGCCAAACAGCACCAGCAGACAAAUGAGGACUUCGAAAAGGAGGAGACCGAGAUACCCCAGCCACCUUUGAGGACGACACAAGAGGGGGUUAUUUUCAAUUGCCCAGCUUCGGUAUGGAAUCCAGCUCACCUGUGACAAUAAUGAGCAAUACAAAAUGGAUGGAUUUUGUGGGUACUGGCAGUAUGAUUUCAGACCAUUAAGAAUGCCAAAUAUUAUCACAUCAUAUAAAAUGCUUGCACAUAGAAAAGCCUUGAUCAGAACAAGUUAAACCUUCAUUACCACAUUUUGUCAUUUCCUACAGGAAAUCUUUCAAAAUCAGAACAAAUUGAAGGUGCAUAAAAUAUUUCUGAACAUGAAGAAGCAGUUUCAAGGGCCUCCAAUUACAUGCAUGAAAAUUCUGACAUCUUAGUGACAUCCAUCCAGAGCAGGAUAGGUUUUCGAAUCAAGAGGUGUGAUGACAUGAGCACCACUUCAAGCUGCAGUCAGAACAGUCUAGUGGUGUUCAGCCAACAGUGCAUCAU